rnacentral:rRNA from 1 species
GAGGUGUGUGAGGCCCCCAGUAGAUGACUGGGUUGAUAGGCCAGAUGUGGAAGCACAGUAAUGUGUGGAGCUGACUGGUACUAAUGGCUGAUGACUUACAACAACAUAGUGUUAUG